AGUAAAGUAACAUAAUUGUUAUAAGAUACAUGACUCCACAAUAUUCAUAAAGGUGGUCUUUUACCCUACAGCAGUACAUGGUUUCAUUUGAGUUUUUAUCUCAUAUAUAGUACAUGUUGCCUUACAUAUUCAGUACAUUAUUUCGUACUGACGUCCCUCUUGGGGGACCUGCAUUCCAUGCUGCAGGUACAGAAGCUAAUAAACCUCCCUAGUAAGAGUACAGGAUAUCAACCGCAGUCACUGAGCUCCAGGUUGCUUCGGGGCUUUGAGUCUUAUCAUAUCUUUUUGCAUUGUAUAGUAUCUUAUCAUGAGGCGGGGCCUGUCCCGACCCUUAUAAGAUAACGUUUCUUGUCUAGAGGCUUUGUAGACUACGUAAAGUAUAGUAUGGUCAUGUAUCGUACCGUAGACAUUGUGGCUCCAACGGCCUAGUCAUAUAAUAUCUUUUGGCUUGCUAGUCCUAUUUAUCUUUUGAGGGCAUGUUUAGUAUGAAAGUAACUUAUAAUGUUCAUAGGUAAUGUAUCGCUACAGGUUGGUUCUCCCGAGCCUUACCGGCAACGGGUGCCAGUCCGCCUUAAUAGGAUUUGGGGCGUGACAAUACUGAUCCAACAGAUAACUCAUUUUGCAAAAGAUGAGUGAUCUAUUUUAGUAGAUAAGUGAUAUGUUUUUAUUAUUUCUAAUGGAUUACUUAUUUUCUGCAACAGGUUGGUUAUAGGUUGCAACAGAUAAACUACAUGGUGCAACAGAUGAGUGAUCUAUUUUUAUUAUUUUCAAAGGAUUGCUCAUCUGCUGUAACAGGUAGGUUAUAAGUUGCAACAGAAAACCUACUUGGUACAACCGAUGAGUGAUCUAUUUUUAUUAUUUUCAAAGGAUUGCUCAUCUGCUGUAACAGGUAGGUUAUAAGUUGCAACAGAAAACCUACUUGGUACAACCGAUGAGUGAUCUAUUUUUAUUAUUUUCAAAGGAUUGCUCAUCUGCUGUAACAGGUAGGUUAUAAGUUGCAACAGAAAACCUACUUGGUACAACCGAUGAGUGAUCUAUUUUUAUUAUUUUCAAAGGAUUGCUCAUCUGCUGUAACAGGUAGGUUAUAAGUUGCAACAGAAAACCUACUUGGUACAACCGAUGAGUGAUCUAUUUUUAUUAUUUUCAAAGGAUUGCUCAUCUGCUGUAACAGGUAGGUUAUAAGUUGCAACAGAAAACCUACUUGGUACAACCGAUGAGUGAUCUAUUUUUAUUAUUUUCAAAGGAUUGCUCAUCUGCUGUAACAGGUAGGUUAUAAGUUGCAACAGAAAACCUACUUGGUACAACCGAUGAGUGAUCUAUUUUUAUUAUUUUCAAAGGAUUGCUCAUCUGCUGUAACAGGUAGGUUAUAAGUUGCAACAGAAAACCUACUUGGUACAACCGAUGAGUGAUCUAUUUUUAUUAUUUUCAAAGGAUUGCUCAUCUGCUGUAACAGGUAGGUUAUAAGUUGCAACAGAAAACCUACUUGGUACAACCGAUGAGUGAUCUAUUUUUAUUAUUUUCAAAGGAUUGCUCAUCUGCUGUAACAGGUAGGUUAUAAGUUGCAACAGAAAACCUACUUGGUACAACCGAUGAGUGAUCUAUUUUUAUUAUUUUCAAAGGAUUGCUCAUCUGCUGUAACAGGUAGGUUAUAAGUUGCAACAGAAAACCUACUUGGUACAACCGAUGAGUGAUCUAUUUUUAUUAUUUUCAAAGGAUUGCUCAUCUGCUGUAACAGGUAGGUUAUAAGUUGCAACAGAAAACCUACUUGGUACAACCGAUGAGUGAUCUAUUUUUAUUAUUUUCAAAGGAUUGCUCAUCUGCUGUAACAGGUAGGUUAUAAGUUGCAACAGAAAACCUACUUGGUACAACCGAUGAGUGAUCUAUUUUUAUUAUUUUCAAAGGAUUGCUCAUCUGCUGUAACAGGUAGGUUAUAAGUUGCAACAGAAAACCUACUUGGUACAACCGAUGAGUGAUCUAUUUUUAUUAUUUUCAAAGGAUUGCUCAUCUGCUGUAACAGGUAGGUUAUAAGUUGCAACAGAAAACCUACUUGGUACAACCGAUGAGUGAUCUAUUUUUAUUAUUUUCAAAGGAUUGCUCAUCUGCUGUAACAGGUAGGUUAUAAGUUGCAACAGAAAACCUACUUGGUACAACCGAUGAGUGAUCUAUUUUUAUUAUUUUCAAAGGAUUGCUCAUCUGCUGUAACAGGUAGGUUAUAAGUUGCAACAGAAAACCUACUUGGUACAACCGAUGAGUGAUCUAUUUUUAUUAUUUUCAAAGGAUUGCUCAUCUGCUGUAACAGGUAGGUUAUAAGUUGCAACAGAAAACCUACUUGGUACAACCGAUGAGUGAUCUAUUUUUAUUAUUUUCAAAGGAUUGCUCAUCUGCUGUAACAGGUAGGUUAUAAGUUGCAACAGAAAACCUACUUGGUACAACCGAUGAGUGAUCUAUUUUUAUUAUUUUCAAAGGAUUGCUCAUCUGCUGUAACAGGUAGGUUAUAAGUUGCAACAGAAAACCUACUUGGUACAACCGAUGAGUGAUCUAUUUUUAUUAUUUUCAAAGGAUUGCUCAUCUGCUGUAACAGGUAGGUUAUAAGUUGCAACAGAAAACCUACUUGGUACAACCGAUGAGUGAUCUAUUUUUAUUAUUUUCAAAGGAUUGCUCAUCUGCUGUAACAGGUAGGUUAUAAGUUGCAACAGAAAACCUACUUGGUACAACCGAUGAGUGAUCUAUUUUUAUUAUUUUCAAAGGAUUGCUCAUCUGCUGUAACAGGUAGGUUAUAAGUUGCAACAGAAAACCUACUUGGUACAACCGAUGAGUGAUCUAUUUUUAUUAUUUUCAAAGGAUUGCUCAUCUGCUGUAACAGGUAGGUUAUAAGUUGCAACAGAAAACCUACUUGGUACAACCGAUGAGUGAUCUAUUUUUAUUAUUUUCAAAGGAUUGCUCAUCUGCUGUAACAGGUAGGUUAUAAGUUGCAACAGAAAACCUACUUGGUACAACCGAUGAGUGAUCUAUUUUUAUUAUUUUCAAAGGAUUGCUCAUCUGCUGUAACAGGUAGGUUAUAAGUUGCAACAGAAAACCUACUUGGUACAACCGAUGAGUGAUCUAUUUUUAUUAUUUUCAAAGGAUUGCUCAUCUGCUGUAACAGGUAGGUUAUAAGUUGCAACAGAAAACCUACUUGGUACAACCGAUGAGUGAUCUAUUUUUAUUAUUUUCAAAGGAUUGCUCAUCUGCUGUAACAGGUAGGUUAUAAGUUGCAACAGAAAACCUACUUGGUACAACCGAUGAGUGAUCUAUUUUUAUUAUUUUCAAAGGAUUGCUCAUCUGCUGUAACAGGUAGGUUAUAAGUUGCAACAGAAAACCUACUUGGUACAACCGAUGAGUGAUCUAUUUUUAUUAUUUUCAAAGGAUUGCUCAUCUGCUGUAACAGGUAGGUUAUAAGUUGCAACAGAAAACCUACUUGGUACAACCGAUGAGUGAUCUAUUUUUAUUAUUUUCAAAGGAUUGCUCAUCUGCUGUAACAGGUAGGUUAUAAGUUGCAACAGAAAACCUACUUGGUACAACCGAUGAGUGAUCUAUUUUUAUUAUUUUCAAAGGAUUGCUCAUCUGCUGUAACAGGUAGGUUAUAAGUUGCAACAGAAAACCUACUUGGUACAACCGAUGAGUGAUCUAUUUUUAUUAUUUUCAAAGGAUUGCUCAUCUGCUGUAACAGGUAGGUUAUAAGUUGCAACAGAAAACCUACUUGGUACAACCGAUGAGUGAUCUAUUUUUAUUAUUUUCAAAGGAUUGCUCAUCUGCUGUAACAGGUAGGUUAUAAGUUGCAACAGAAAACCUACUUGGUACAACCGAUGAGUGAUCUAUUUUUAUUAUUUUCAAAGGAUUGCUCAUCUGCUGUAACAGGUAGGUUAUAAGUUGCAACAGAAAACCUACUUGGUACAACCGAUGAGUGAUCUAUUUUUAUUAUUUUCAAAGGAUUGCUCAUCUGCUGUAACAGGUAGGUUAUAAGUUGCAACAGAAAACCUACUUGGUACAACCGAUGAGUGAUCUAUUUUUAUUAUUUUCAAAGGAUUGCUCAUCUGCUGUAACAGGUAGGUUAUAAGUUGCAACAGAAAACCUACUUGGUACAACCGAUGAGUGAUCUAUUUUUAUUAUUUUCAAAGGAUUGCUCAUCUGCUGUAACAGGUAGGUUAUAAGUUGCAACAGAAAACCUACUUGGUACAACCGAUGAGUGAUCUAUUUUUAUUAUUUUCAAAGGAUUGCUCAUCUGCUGUAACAGGUAGGUUAUAAGUUGCAACAGAAAACCUACUUGGUACAACCGAUGAGUGAUCUAUUUUUAUUAUUUUCAAAGGAUUGCUCAUCUGCUGUAACAGGUAGGUUAUAAGUUGCAACAGAAAACCUACUUGGUACAACCGAUGAGUGAUCUAUUUUUAUUAUUUUCAAAGGAUUGCUCAUCUGCUGUAACAGGUAGGUUAUAAGUUGCAACAGAAAACCUACUUGGUACAACCGAUGAGUGAUCUAUUUUUAUUAUUUUCAAAGGAUUGCUCAUCUGCUGUAACAGGUAGGUUAUAAGUUGCAACAGAAAACCUACUUGGUACAACCGAUGAGUGAUCUAUUUUUAUUAUUUUCAAAGGAUUGCUCAUCUGCUGUAACAGGUAGGUUAUAAGUUGCAACAGAAAACCUACUUGGUACAACCGAUGAGUGAUCUAUUUUUAUUAUUUUCAAAGGAUUGCUCAUCUGCUGUAACAGGUAGGUUAUAAGUUGCAACAGAAAACCUACUUGGUACAACCGAUGAGUGAUCUAUUUUUAUUAUUUUCAAAGGAUUGCUCAUCUGCUGUAACAGGUAGGUUAUAAGUUGCAACAGAAAACCUACUUGGUACAACCGAUGAGUGAUCUAUUUUUAUUAUUUUCAAAGGAUUGCUCAUCUGCUGUAACAGGUAGGUUAUAAGUUGCAACAGAAAACCUACUUGGUACAACCGAUGAGUGAUCUAUUUUUAUUAUUUUCAAAGGAUUGCUCAUCUGCUGUAACAGGUAGGUUAUAAGUUGCAACAGAAAACCUACUUGGUACAACCGAUGAGUGAUCUAUUUUUAUUAUUUUCAAAGGAUUGCUCAUCUGCUGUAACAGGUAGGUUAUAAGUUGCAACAGAAAACCUACUUGGUACAACCGAUGAGUGAUCUAUUUUUAUUAUUUUCAAAGGAUUGCUCAUCUGCUGUAACAGGUAGGUUAUAAGUUGCAACAGAAAACCUACUUGGUACAACCGAUGAGUGAUCUAUUUUUAUUAUUUUCAAAGGAUUGCUCAUCUGCUGUAACAGGUAGGUUAUAAGUUGCAACAGAAAACCUACUUGGUACAACCGAUGAGUGAUCUAUUUUUAUUAUUUUCAAAGGAUUGCUCAUCUGCUGUAACAGGUAGGUUAUAAGUUGCAACAGAAAACCUACUUGGUACAACCGAUGAGUGAUCUAUUUUUAUUAUUUUCAAAGGAUUGCUCAUCUGCUGUAACAGGUAGGUUAUAAGUUGCAACAGAAAACCUACUUGGUACAACCGAUGAGUGAUCUAUUUUUAUUAUUUUCAAAGGAUUGCUCAUCUGCUGUAACAGGUAGGUUAUAAGUUGCAACAGAAAACCUACUUGGUACAACCGAUGAGUGAUCUAUUUUUAUUAUUUUCAAAGGAUUGCUCAUCUGCUGUAACAGGUAGGUUAUAAGUUGCAACAGAAAACCUACUUGGUACAACCGAUGAGUGAUCUAUUUUUAUUAUUUUCAAAGGAUUGCUCAUCUGCUGUAACAGGUAGGUUAUAAGUUGCAACAGAAAACCUACUUGGUACAACCGAUGAGUGAUCUAUUUUUAUUAUUUUCAAAGGAUUGCUCAUCUGCUGUAACAGGUAGGUUAUAAGUUGCAACAGAAAACCUACUUGGUACAACCGAUGAGUGAUCUAUUUUUAUUAUUUUCAAAGGAUUGCUCAUCUGCUGUAACAGGUAGGUUAUAAGUUGCAACAGAAAACCUACUUGGUACAACCGAUGAGUGAUCUAUUUUUAUUAUUUUCAAAGGAUUGCUCAUCUGCUGUAACAGGUAGGUUAUAAGUUGCAACAGAAAACCUACUUGGUACAACCGAUGAGUGAUCUAUUUUUAUUAUUUUCAAAGGAUUGCUCAUCUGCUGUAACAGGUAGGUUAUAAGUUGCAACAGAAAACCUACUUGGUACAACCGAUGAGUGAUCUAUUUUUAUUAUUUUCAAAGGAUUGCUCAUCUGCUGUAACAGGUAGGUUAUAAGUUGCAACAGAAAACCUACUUGGUACAACCGAUGAGUGAUCUAUUUUUAUUAUUUUCAAAGGAUUGCUCAUCUGCUGUAACAGGUAGGUUAUAAGUUGCAACAGAAAACCUACUUGGUACAACCGAUGAGUGAUCUAUUUUUAUUAUUUUCAAAGGAUUGCUCAUCUGCUGUAACAGGUAGGUUAUAAGUUGCAACAGAAAACCUACUUGGUACAACCGAUGAGUGAUCUAUUUUUAUUAUUUUCAAAGGAUUGCUCAUCUGCUGUAACAGGUAGGUUAUAAGUUGCAACAGAAAACCUACUUGGUACAACCGAUGAGUGAUCUAUUUUUAUUAUUUUCAAAGGAUUGCUCAUCUGCUGUAACAGGUAGGUUAUAAGUUGCAACAGAAAACCUACUUGGUACAACCGAUGAGUGAUCUAUUUUUAUUAUUUUCAAAGGAUUGCUCAUCUGCUGUAACAGGUAGGUUAUAAGUUGCAACAGAAAACCUACUUGGUACAACCGAUGAGUGAUCUAUUUUUAUUAUUUUCAAAGGAUUGCUCAUCUGCUGUAACAGGUAGGUUAUAAGUUGCAACAGAAAACCUACUUGGUACAACCGAUGAGUGAUCUAUUUUUAUUAUUUUCAAAGGAUUGCUCAUCUGCUGUAACAGGUAGGUUAUAAGUUGCAACAGAAAACCUACUUGGUACAACCGAUGAGUGAUCUAUUUUUAUUAUUUUCAAAGGAUUGCUCAUCUGCUGUAACAGGUAGGUUAUAAGUUGCAACAGAAAACCUACUUGGUACAACCGAUGAGUGAUCUAUUUUUAUUAUUUUCAAAGGAUUGCUCAUCUGCUGUAACAGGUAGGUUAUAAGUUGCAACAGAAAACCUACUUGGUACAACCGAUGAGUGAUCUAUUUUUAUUAUUUUCAAAGGAUUGCUCAUCUGCUGUAACAGGUAGGUUAUAAGUUGCAACAGAAAACCUACUUGGUACAACCGAUGAGUGAUCUAUUUUUAUUAUUUUCAAAGGAUUGCUCAUCUGCUGUAACAGGUAGGUUAUAAGUUGCAACAGAAAACCUACUUGGUACAACCGAUGAGUGAUCUAUUUUUAUUAUUUUCAAAGGAUUGCUCAUCUGCUGUAACAGGUAGGUUAUAAGUUGCAACAGAAAACCUACUUGGUACAACCGAUGAGUGAUCUAUUUUUAUUAUUUUCAAAGGAUUGCUCAUCUGCUGUAACAGGUAGGUUAUAAGUUGCAACAGAAAACCUACUUGGUACAACCGAUGAGUGAUCUAUUUUUAUUAUUUUCAAAGGAUUGCUCAUCUGCUGUAACAGGUAGGUUAUAAGUUGCAACAGAAAACCUACUUGGUACAACCGAUGAGUGAUCUAUUUUUAUUAUUUUCAAAGGAUUGCUCAUCUGCUGUAACAGGUAGGUUAUAAGUUGCAACAGAAAACCUACUUGGUACAACCGAUGAGUGAUCUAUUUUUAUUAUUUUCAAAGGAUUGCUCAUCUGCUGUAACAGGUAGGUUAUAAGUUGCAACAGAAAACCUACUUGGUACAACCGAUGAGUGAUCUAUUUUUAUUAUUUUCAAAGGAUUGCUCAUCUGCUGUAACAGGUAGGUUAUAAGUUGCAACAGAAAACCUACUUGGUACAACCGAUGAGUGAUCACAUGCUGUGCACAGAUUAUUCAAGUAAUAAGAGUAAAGUAACAUAAUUAUUAUAAGAUACAUGACUCCACAACUUUCAUAAAGGUGGUCUUUUACCCUACAGCAGUACAUGGUUUCAUUUGAGUUUUUAUCUCAUAUAUAGUACAUGUUGCCUUACAUAUUCAGACCAUUAUUUCGUACUGACGUCCCUCUUGGGGGACCUGCAUUCCAUGCUGCAGGUACAGAAGCUAAUAAACCUCCCCAGUAAGAGUACAGGAUAUCAAC
rnacentral:lncRNA from 1 species